CAUUGCACAAGCACAUAACUUGUUUUGCUUGCACAGGCCGCGCUGGAGCGAAUCCGCGUGGUGACGAAUCCGCCCGAGCCUCCCGGGGCUGAGUCAGAGGAGACUGGACUCCAUGUUUGGGCUGACACUGGGAGGAGUUUAGGACGUUGGAGCUACGGGGUGGGACGAACGUGUUCUGUGCGCGACAGGGACACGGAGUCGUGGGUUCCAGGCGGAAUGCGACGGUUUGAACGUAUUCCAGAGCUACUGUGCUGGACACUCAACCCCACUGGUGGCAUUCUGAGCUCUCUGCUGUGCCUGGGAAAGCAGUGGACGAUGGCUAGGUCCUUGGGCCCUGCACCCACAUGGGAGACCCGGAGGAAGCUUCUGGCUCCGGAUCAGUGCAGCUCCGGCCGUUGCAGCCAUUUGGGGAGUGAACCAGCGCAUGGAAGACCUCACUCUCUGCCUCUCUGUAAUUCUUUCAAAUAAUAAAUAAAUAACUCAAAAAAAUUGUCCAUAAAACAAACAAGUAAUUCUUGCUCUCAGGCAGAAUCAGGUGGUCUAGACUCACUUUGUCUUCUUUAAAAAAAAAAAAAAAGAUUUAUUUAUUUAUUUGAAAGAGUUACAGAGAGAGAGUUACAGAGAGAGAGAGAGGUCUUCCAUCCGCUGGUUCACUCCCCAAUUGGCCGCAAUGGUCAGAGCUGCAACGAUCCCAAGCCAGGAGCCAGAGGCUUCCUCCAGGUCUCCCACGUGGGUGCAGGGCCCAAGGACUUGGGCAUCUUCUACUGCUCUCCCAGGCCACAGCAGAGAGCUGGACUGGAAGUGGAGCAGCCGGGUCUCAAACUGGCGCCCAUGUGGGAUGCAGACUGCAGGCCAGGGCAUUAGCCCACCGCGCCCCACUUUGUCUAUUUGCUGAGCUAAACUGCACUCUGCCAUUCAUCCAAGCAGCCGAUUCCUCACGCUGGGACGGUGCUCACAGCCCACAGCUCGGUGAGGUCUGCUCACUGCUACUCACUGGCUGUUUCUAGACCCUUCUAGUAAAGCACUGGGAAAUGCAUUCUCCUAAAAAUUAUUUUAAAACAAAUUAAUACUGAUAUCUCCAAUUCAAACAUGAGGUUAUAGGGAGUUUACUUAAUUGUUUUUUUAAAAAAAGAGACUUAUUUAUUUAUUUAUUUGAAAGGCAGGGUGACAGAGGAAGAGAGACAUCGUCCAUCUGCUGGUUUGCUCCUCAAAUGUCUGCAACAGCUGGGACCAGGCCAUGCCACAGCCGGAAGCCAGGAACUCCACCCGGUCUCCCACGGGGUGGCAAGAACCCAAGUCCUUGGUCCAUCAUCUGCUACCUCCCGGGAGCAUCCGCAGGAAGCUGGAUGGGAAGCGGAGGUGGGGACCCGAUGCACUCUAACACCUACCCCUUAACUGUUUCAAUUUUGUAGUUUUUAAAAAUUUUUAUUUAUUUAUUUGAAAGUCAGAGUUACACACACAGACAGAAGGGGAGGGGGAGGAAGAGAGGGAGAGAGAGGGAGAAAAGUCUUCCAUCCGCUGGUUCACUCCCCAACUGGCCGCAAUGGCUGGAGCUGCGCUAAUCUGAAGCCAGGAGCCAGAGGCUUCCUCCAGGUCUCCCACGUGGGUGCAGGGCCCAAGGACUUGGGCCAUCUUCCGCUGCUUUCCCAGGCCACAGCAGAGAGCUGGACUGGAAGUGGAGCAGCUGGGACUCAAACCGGCGCCCAUGUGCGGUAACGGCACUGCAAGCAGUGGCUUUACCCACUACACCACAGUGCCAGCCCCGAAUUUUGUAUUUUUUUUUAAAGAUUAUUUUAUUUAUUUGAAAGACAGAGUUACAGAGAGAGGCAGAAACAGAGAGCAAGAGAGGUCUUCCAUCUGCUGGUUCACUCCCCAAAUAACCACAACGGCCAGAGCUGAGCUGAUCCAAAGCCAGGAGCCAGGAGCUUCUUCCAGGUCUCCACGUGGGUGCAGGGGCCCAAGCACUUGGGCCAUCUUCCACUGCUUCCCCAGGCCACAGCAGAGAUUUAGAUUGGAAAUGGAGCAGCCAGGACUCAAACCAGCACCUGGAGCCCUGUAUGGGGUACCAGCUCUGCAGGCCAGGUCUCUACCCUGCUGUGCCACAGCGCCAGCCCCUCUAUUUUCCACUUGUACAUGUUUUCUCUUAUCCUGGAAAUCACGUUUCCUAAGACAGUAACUUACUGACCUCUUUAUUGUAUGAUAUAUAAAAAGCAUUGGGGCCAGCGCUGUGGCAUAGCAGGUAGGGCUGCCGCCUGCAGUAAUGGCAUCUCAUGUGGGCGCUGGUUCGAGUCCUGGCAUCUCCUCUUCCGAUCCAGCUCUCUGCUGUGGCCUGGGAAAGCAGCGGAAGAUGCCCAAGUGCUUGGGUCCCUGCACCCACGUGGGAGACCUGGAAGAAGCUCCUGGCUUCGGAUCAGCUCAGCUCCUGCCGUUGGAGUCAUCUGGGGAGUGAACCAGCGGAUGGAAGACCUCCCUCUCUCUCUCUGCCUCUCCUUCUGUGUAACUCUGACUUUCAAGUAAAUAAAUAAACUUUUUUUUUUUUUUUUUGACAGGCAGAGUGAACAGUGAGAGAGAGAGAGAGAGAGAGAAAGGUCUUCCUUUUGCCGUUGGUUCACCCUCCAAUGGCUGCCACGGCUGGCGCACUGUGGCCGGCGCACCGUGCUGAUCCAAAGGCAGGAGCCAGGUGCUUCUCCUGGUCUCCCAUGGGGUGCAGGGCCCAAGCACUUGGGCCAUCCUCCACUGCACUCCCUGGCCACAGCAGAGAGCUGGCCUGGAAGAGGGGCAACCGGGGCAGAAUCCGGCGCCCUGACCGGGACUAGAACCCGAUGUGCCGGCGCCGCAAGGUGGAGGAUUAGCCUAGUGAGCUGCGGCGCCGACCAUAAAUAAAUUUUUAAAAAUUAAAAAAGUACCGAAGGCACACAGACUGCCGAAGUGGCACAGCUGGCCACGCCCUCGCUGAGACAUCCCACAGGAGCGCUGGUUCACAUCCCAGCCGCUCCACUUCUUCCCCUUCUCCCCACGGAGGAGCCCAGGAAGGCAGAGGUUGGCCCUGGUGCUUGGGUCCUCACAACUCAAGCGGGGACCUGGACGCAGUUUUCUGGCUCCAAGAUGGCCCUGCCCUGCUGUUGCGGCCGUUUAGGGAGUGAACCAGGGGAUGGUACCUGUCUCUUUCUGUCUCUGUCUCUUCCUAUCUAACUCUGCCUUUCAAAGAAAUUUUUAUAAAGAAUAAAAACCAUUAUUACUAACAAUAUAAGUGCUAAAAACUGCAGUAUUUUUGUAGGUCCCUUGAUUUUAGGAUUUAUCCAACCAGAAUGUACAAUCCAAUUUGUUCUGAAGUCAUUUCAAGCAUCUCCUCUCUGUCUAAGCCAACUCUAUUUCUGAUUAGGUUCCUUCAGCUCAGUUUGCUUUCUAUUAUGAGACGACUUUUCUCCAUUUAGAUUUAAAUUUAAAACUACAUGACAGCUGGUGCCGCGGCUCACUAGGCUAAUCCUCGACCUCGCGGUGCCGGCACACCGGGUUCUAGUCCCGGUCGGGGUGCCGGAUUCUGUCCCGGUUGCCCCUCUUCCAGGCCAGCUCUCUGCUGUGGCCAGGGAGUGCAGUGGAGGAUGGCCCAAGUGCUUGGGCCCUGCACCCCAUGGGAGACCAGGAGAAGCACCUGGCUCCUGCCUUCGGAUCAGUGCCGUGCACCGGCCGCAGCGCGCCAGCCAUGGCGGCCAUUGGAGGGUGAACCAACGGCAAAGGAAGACCUUUCUCUCUGUCUCUCUCUCUCUCACUAUCCACUCUGCCUGUCCAAAAAAAAAAAAAACAACAACAACAAAAAAACACUACAUGACAUCAUCUGUAUGGUUUAAUGGGGGUUCAAGACAUGCUACCCCCGUCUCUCAGAAGGACAGUGAGGACGCCGACCACGCAGGCCCCGUCUCACAAAAGGGACAGCGAGGAUGCCGACCACGCAGGCCCCGUCUCUCAGAAGGACAGCGAGGACGCCGACCACGCAGGCCCCGUCUCUCAGAAGGGACAGCGAGGACGCCGACCACGCAGGCCCCGUCUCUCAGAAGGACAGCGAGGACGCCGACCACGCAGGCCCCGUCUCUCAGAAGGACAGUGAGGACGCCGACCACGCAGGCCCCGUCUCUCAGAAGGACAGCGAGGACGCCGACCACGCAGGCCCCGUCUCUCAGAAGGACAGCGAGGACGCCGACCACGCAGGCCCCGUCUCUCAGAAGGGACAGCGAGGACGCCGACCACGCAGGCCCCGUCUCUCAGAAGGGACAGCGAGGACGCUGACCACGCAGGCCCCGUCUCUCAGAAGGGACAGCGAGGACGCCGACCACGCAGGCCCCGUCUCUCAGAAGGGACAGCGAGGACGCUGACCACACAGGCCCCAGGCACAGUGCCUCAGCAUAACUUCCGGUCAGUUAACCUGGGUGCCUUUCCUGUAAUUUGGGUUUUGUUAGAGUAGAAAGAAAACAAAGCUUUUGUCCCCAGAAGGUAUGAACCGGCCCCGCCCCCUCCUCCAUAGGUUUGGGUUUUCCUUCCUUUUUAAAGAUUUAUUUUUCAAUGCUUAUUUUUAUCUACUUGAAAGGAACAGCAACAGUGAGAGAUGGAGAUCUUCUACCCACUGGCUCACUCCCCGAACACCCCGCACAGCCUGGGCCGGGCGGCUGGAGCCCGGGGUCUGCAACCCCAGCCGUGGCGCAGCCCAAG